GAUUUAUUCCCAUUGAUCUAGAUGUCAAAGUGAAUAAAUUCAACCAAGCGUAGGUAAAUGAAGGGAGUAACUAUGACUCUCUCAAGGUAGCCAGUUGAUGCCUCUGUUGAUUAAGGUUGGUUGUCAUUGAU
rnacentral:ncRNA from 1 species